AACGAACGCUGGUGGCAUGCCUAAUACAUGCAAGUCGAACGAGAAAGCACUUCGGUGUGAGUACAGUGGCGCACGGGUGAGUAACGCGUAGAUGAUGUGCCUUUUAGUGGGGGACAACCUCGGGAAACCGGGGCUAAUACCGCAUAAGCUUAGUGAAAUUGAAAAAGCUAAGGAAAGGGGGCUUCGGCUCUCGCUAGAAGAUCGGUCUGCGUGACAUUAGCUUGUUGGUGGGGUAAUGGCCUACCAAGGCGACGAUGUCUAGCUGGUCUGAGAGGAUGAUCAGUCACACUGGAACUGAGACACGGUCCAGACUCCUACGGGAGGCAGCAGUAGGGAAUAUUGCGCAAUGGGGGAAACCCUGACGCAGCAAUGCCACGUGAGUGAGGAAUGCCUUCGGGUUGUAAAGCUCUGUCCUAUAGGAAGAACGGCAUAUUGGUUAAUACCCAUUAUGUUUGACGGUACUAUAGAAGAAAGCACCGGCUAACUCCG
rnacentral:rRNA from 1 species